GUGCUCCCUUCCACAGCACAUACACUAAAGUUAGGAUGAUGCAGAGGAGAUUCGCAUGGCCCGCACAAGGAUGACACGCAAGUUGGUGAAGCGCUCCAUAUUUUU
ensembl:snRNA U6 U6 spliceosomal RNA